AACAAAGUUUUGGCUCGCAAAAAUAUUUCAGUAUCUAGUGUAAUUCUUAAAAGGUGCCAUCUCCUUUAAAUAAAGUAAUUAGCACUGCUUUGUAGGAAUUUUGUACAGGAUAUGAAUUAAAUGACUUAGGUAAAAGUUUAUAUUUAAGAGAACUAUGAUCCUGCAGUUCUUCUCCUAGGCAUAUAUCCUAAGGAACUCAACACACCCAUCCAAAAAGAUUUGUGUAUACCUAUGUUCAAAGCAGCACAAUUUGUAAUAGCCAAAACCUGGAAGCAACCCAGGUGUCCAACAACAGAUGAGUGGCUGAGCAAUUUGUGGUCUAUAUACACAAUGGAAUACUACUCAGCUAUUAAAAAUGGUGACUUCACCGUUUUCAGCCCAUCUUGGAUGGAGCUUGAAGAAAUCAUGCUAAGUGAAAUAAGUCAGAAACAGAAGGAUGAAUAUGGGAUGAUCUCACUCUCAGGCAGAAGUUGAGAAACAAGAUCAGAAGAAAAAACACAGGUAGAACCUGAACUGGAAUUGGUGUAUUGCAUCAAAGUAAAAGACUCUUUUGUGGGGUGGGGGGGACAGGACUAUAGGUCCAAAAAGGAUGACAGAGGACCUAGUGGAGGUUGUAUUGUUAUGUGAAAAACUGAGCAAUGAUAUGCAUGUACAAUCUACUGUAUUUACUGUCGAAUGUAAAACAUUAAUCUCCCAACAAAAUAAAUAAAUA